rfam:Salmo salar isolate Sally breed double haploid chromosome ssa23, whole genome shotgun sequence.
AAUGCACCAAUUUGUAAGUCGCUCUGGAUAAGAGCAUCUGCUAAAUGACUAAAU